AGCCGGUCCCCUCGGUGACGACAGGUUGUGAACCCGGUCAGGUCCGGAAGGAAGCAGCCGCAGCAGCCGGUUCGGGUAUCGGGGUGUGGCCGGUUUGA
rnacentral:SRP_RNA from 1 species